GUGCCAGCCGCGGCGGUAAUACGUAGGUGGCGAGCGUUAUCCGGAAUUAUUGGGCGUAAAGGGAGCGUAGGCGGUUUAUUAAGUCUAAGGUGAAAGUUCGGGGCUCAACCCCGUGAUGCCUUAGAAACUGGUAGACUUGAGUACAGGAGAGGUGAGUGGAAUUCCAUGUGUAGCGGUAAAAUGCGUAGAUAUAUGGAGGAACACCAGUGGCGAAGGCGGCUCACUGGCCUGUAACUGACGCUGAGGCUCGAAAGCGUGGGGAGCAAAUAGGAUUAGAUACCCUAGUAGUCCACGCCGUAAACGAUGGAUACUAAGUGUUGGACGGAAGUUCAGUGCUGCAGUUAACGCAAUAAGUAUCCCGCCUGGGAGUAUGCGCGCAAGCGUAAAACUCAAAGGAAUUGACGGGGCCCGCACAAGCGGUGGAGUAUGUGGUUAAUUCGAAGCAACGCGAAAGAACCUUAACCAGGUCCUGACAUAACCACGCAAAAGCACAGAGAUGUGUAAUAGUUAAUGGUGGAUACAGGUGUGCAUG
rnacentral:rRNA from 1 species